UACGUAGGUGGCAAGCGUUGUCCGGAUUUACUGGGCGUAAAGUGUGCGCAGGCGGCCGCGCAAGUCGAGUGUGAAAGCCCCGGGCUUAACUUGGGAAUUGCGCUCGAAACUACGUGGCUGGAGUGUGGCAGAGGAAGGUGGAAUUCCACGUGUAGCGGUGAAAUGCGUAGGAGAUCGGCAGGAACACCCAGGGGGAAACCAGUCGACUGG
rnacentral:rRNA from 1 species